rnacentral:lncRNA from 1 species
GAAAAAAAAAAAAAAAAACAAGAGAAAGAAAAAUAGGUCAAAUACUUAAUGAUAAUUGAUGAACAAAUAUUGUACAGAAUCGUACAGAGUUUUGUCGCCACUUUUCUCCCGUCUAUUUUAACGUCUCAAGCGCCAUUCAAUCGAUCGAUAACCUUAUGGUACAGAUCUCAGGGUUAACGAGAAUUACUGCUUAAAAAGCAGAUAAGAGUUGUGAAGGGGGGAAAAAAAUACAAGAAUAAACGACCCCGGAUAAAUUUCUCAAGGAUUGUGAAUUUCGUUCCUUUUUCUUUUACGACAUAGCAUCACUGGGUCCAUUUCGGGUUUAUUAUUUGAUGAGCUGUUAACCAAACCCGACGUCGCAUGGUUCUCAGCGGCCACAGCAAUGAUUUGUUAAUAAUUCAAAUCUACAUAAUUCGCGUACCGGGUAUGAAUUCUUGGUCAUUAUUAGUUCACGUAUGUGUGCGGUUCUUGCUACAGUGCGAUUCGGCCUCGUCCGUCUAAUAGAGUAAUGACAUUUUAUGAAUAGUCUACGAACAUGAAUUGAUUCAUAAUUGGCUAACGACGGUAUCUCUUAAACUGACUGUAACUCCGUACCGGAGUGCAGCCACGCCCUGAUAAUAUUCAAUAUCUAAUAAUCAGAGUAAGAAUAAAGAAAAUGCGUUCAUGUGAACAAUUGAAUUUAGUAUUAACGGAGAAAAACCACGCAAAGGGAUGAAUGUGCAAAUAGUUGAAAGAAAUGAACGGUUGAUGGAAGAAUUCGGAAACAAUGAGAAAGAGUGAACCGCCAAAAGUUGUGCGUAAUUGCUGUUAUUAUUGAUUGUCAAGAGACUAUGGAAAUUUACGGAAAAUGUAUUAAAUAUCUGAAAGCAGCGACGCAAUUACAGGGUUGACGUGACGUCAUCACUCGCAUACACGAGCCGUGCGUUGCGCACGGCACUAAUGUUCAAUUCUACAAUUGCGCGCGUCACUAUUUUGUCCGCGUUACACGAUGCGGAUAUUUUAACGAGCAAUGGUUGGUGCGUAAUAACAUGAAACACUAUUGAAAAUCCCUUUCCAGCCAUCCCGGUACCUUUUUUGAGGACUCGAGCAAAUAAUAAUGCAACGAAUGAAGCGAUAACAGUGCUUUAUCGACGUUAUUCGAGACGAUCGGCUACCGCAACGCAGCUUGUAACAUUGCCUCAUUCCCGGUUGGUGGUGCCGUGUGCAAAAGCCUGAGCCGGCGUUAUUUCUAUAAAGUCGAAUGCGGAGCGAUACGAGCAAAGUUUCGCUUCACGAAUCCGGCCGGAGACAAGCUUGAGGAAAGUGACGUAAGGAGGGAAUAAAACCCGUCGAUAAAAAUGGUCUGGCCAACACUCAAGAGUAAAACACUCGGUCAUCUGGCGGAGAAAAACGAAGACACUACAAAUGCUACCAAAUUAAGAAGUGGGUGUCUGAAGUGUGGAAAUCGGUGCAAGAAAUGCGGCCCUGACUGCAAAUGCACUAUUAGAAGAGUUUACAUUCGGGCACCAAUGUUUAACUACUAUACCGACUUGAUGCACUAAUGAAUUACUCUUCAAAUUCUCCGACAAAACAUCGGUGGAUCAAUUUUACGGAAAAAUUCGUUCCUUCUUCUUCGAAAGAUCUGGAUUUUGUCCAACCGGGGCAAUGAAAUAGUCACAAAAUAAUACGACGCGUUGCUCAAAUUAUCUGGAAAUUUCUGCACAGACUGCGUUAUGGUCGUUAUGUUCAAAUUUUUCCUUAAUUUUAUUUAUUUUAGAAUAUUCUGUCAUUGCGAUGCGCGCGGUUGCUAUACUUUUAGGUUUUAACUUAUUAUUAAUUAAGUAUGAAUGGAGUGGCUGGAGUUACUUACACAAUUCUUGACUUGUAUAAAUAAUUCAACUUAUAAACGGGACCUGGAUCAGUGUACUUCGUUUACUUCAGAUUUUAGAAAUUUAUGGAUUAGUAAUACUCUAGGGUAUUAAGUUCAUCUCAUGCAGGGCUUGAGAUAUUUUGUUCUAACUAUAUAUUAUUUAAUCGUAGAUUGAAUGAGGAAUUAUCUCUUUGUUGAAGGAUAAAAAAAAAUGUGUUUCAAGUGUUUCAAGCGUUUCGAACGAUUACAUCAACAAUUAACCUUUUACAAAGAUAUCAUCAAAUUUCUCUGCCUGUUUUAACUAGAGUACCUAGUAGGCCGAUAAUAUCAACUUUUUUUUACAAAUUUCUGUGUUAAUCAUAUCUAUUGACAACCUGUCGAGGAUGAGCUCUAUAAGUGUUUCAAGUGUUUCUAUUGGUUAGUAGAUCCUCGAUGGUUUCUCAAUACUAUUCACUUAUGUAAUAAACUCUGUAAUACCAAUUGUUGGUCGAAAUAUAAAGUUUUGUAUGUUUUGCUAUAUCAAUAAA